rnacentral:rRNA from 1 species
UGGGGAAUUUUGCACAAUGGGCGCAAGCCUGAUGCAGCCAUGCCGCGUGUAUGAAGAAGGCCUUCGGGUUGUAAAGUACUUUUAGCGGGGAGGAAGGGAGUAAAGUUAAUACCUUUGCUCAUUGACGUUACCCGCAGAAGAAGCACCGGCUAACUCCGUGCCAGCAGCCGCGGUAAUACGGAGGGUGCAAGCGUUAAUCGGAAUUACUGGGCGUAAAGCGCACGCAGGCGGUUUGUUAAGUCAGAUGUGAAAUCCCCGGGCUCAACCUAGGAACUGCAUCUGAUACUGGCAAGCUUGAGUCUCGUAGAGGGGGGAAGAAUUCCAGGUGUAGCGGUGAAAUGCGUAGAGAUCUGGAGGAAUACCGGUGGCGAAGGCGGCCCCCUGGACGAAGACUGACGCUCAGGUGCGAAAGCGUGGGGAGCAAACAGG